GUGUGUUAAAAAAAAAGAGAAGGUAGAAGGAACAAAAAAAAAAGGGGGGUGGAAGGUUGUUGUUUCUAAGUCCCACAUUGGUUAGAUGAGGGAAGAGAAGAGGUGCCUUCAUGUAUAAAAAGGAGGGGGUGUGUGCAUUAGGAAGCAUGAGAGGCUAAGAUGCAAUUUAGAGAAAAUUGCAACUUUGGGCCCAAAGGUUUGAAUAAUUAAAUUCAAACCUAUAGUUUUUUUUUAAUAUAAUUUUGGGACUCACAAUCCCAUUUUUAUAUUAUUUUUCUCUCUUCCUCUCACGUUGCUCGGCGUUUUCUCGCAAGGGGGGAUUAUUUUCUUUUUUCUUCAGAUUAUAUUGACAAAGAUAGUGGUGAAAAAGGAGUUGUGAAGGGGAACUUGUUAUUCAAGACACAAGGAGCGAAUCCGGCCGAGAAAGCACCAGAGGUGUAAUUAUGGUGUAUGAGACACCAUCUUUUACGUUGCCUCUUAUUUUGGAUUAUACAAUGUAUCUUGUGCCAACUUAGGACAUAUCUUGUCUAUGGAGCG